rnacentral:rRNA from 1 species
UAAGGUGGUUAUUGCAGCGGGGCUCACCUCUAUCCAUUUCGAACAGAGAAGUUAAGCCCGCUAGCGCAGAUGGUACUGCUAAC